CCUACGGGUGGCAGCAGUGGGGAAUAUUGCACAAUGGAGGGAACUCUGAUGCAGCGACGCCGCGUGAGUGAAGAAGUAAUUCGUUAUGUAAAGCUCUAUCAGCAGGGAAGAAAGUGACGGUACCUGAAAAAGAAGCUCCGGCUAAAUACGUGCCAGCAGCCGCGGUAAUACGUAUGGAGCAAGCGUUAUCCGGAUUUACUGGGUGGAAAGGGGGAGUAGGUGGCAGAGCAAGUCCGAAGUGAAGACCCAAAGCUUAACUAUGGGAAUGCUUUAGAAACUGCUCAGCUAGAGUGGAGGAGAGGCAAGUGGAAUGCGUGGUGUAGCGGUGAAAUGCAUAGAUAUUAGGAAGAACACCGGUUGCGAAGGCGGCUUGCUGGCCUGUAACUGACGCUGAGGCACGAAAGCGUGGGGAGCGAACAGGAUUAGAUACCCGAGUAGUC
rnacentral:rRNA from 1 species